ncrna:unclassified sequences RT-7 RNA
GCCAGAAUGUCAGCAACUAAGGUCGUUGACAGCGUGCAUUAGUAAAUCCAGUAACCCACCAGUACAUGUAAAAGGUACGCAAACGCCCCGUGGCAAUGCGUCUUGGCUGGUUAUGUUAUCCCAAUCUGUUGGAUGGUCACAUGCCCUUAUUUCGUUUCUCUUUCAUAGGAUUACGAAUGGUGGUGGUCCCCAUGCUUCAUUUAAUGAGUGGUUACUAUUUUU